UUAAGCGACUAAGCGUACACGGUGGAUGCCCUGGCAGUCAGAGGCGAUGAAGGACGUGCUAAUCUGCGAAAAGCGUCGGUAAGGUGAUAUGAACCGUUACAGCCGGCGAUGUCCGAAUGGGGAAACCCAGUGUGAUUCGUCACACUAUCGUUAACUGAAUACAUAGGUUAACGAGGCGAACCGGGGGAACUGAAACAUCUAAGUACCCCGAGGAAAAGAAAUCAACCGAGAUUCCCCCAGUAGCGGCGAGCGAACGGGGAGCAGCCCAGAGUCUGAAUCAGCUUGUGUGUUAGUGGAACGGUCUGGAAAGUCCGACGGUACAGGGUGAUAGUCCCGUACACCAAAAUGCACAGGCUGUGAACUCGAAGAGUAGGGCGGGACACGUGGUAUCCUGUCUGAAUAUGGGGGGACCAUCCUCCAAGGCUAAAUACUCCUGACUGACCGAUAGUGAACCAGUACCGUGAGGGAAAGGCGAAAAGAACCCCGGCGAGGGGAGUGAAAAAGAACCUGAAACCGUGUACGUACAAGCAGUGGGAGCACCUUCGGGUGUGACUGCGUACCUUUUGUAUAAUGGGUCAGCGACUUAUAUUCUGUAGCAAGGUUAACCGUAUAGGGGAGCCGCAGGGAAACCGAGUCUUAACUGGGCGUUAAGUUGCAGGGUAUAGACCCGAAACCCGGUGAUCUAGCCAUGGGCAGGUUGAAGGUUGGGUAACACUAACUGGAGGACCGAACCGACUAAUGUUGAAAAAUUAGCGGAUGACUUGUGGCUGGGGGUGAAAGGCCAAUCAAACCGGGAGAUAGCUGGUUCUCCCCGAAAGCUAUUUAGGUAGCGCCUCGUGAACUCAUCUUCGGGGGUAGAGCACUGUUUCGGCUAGGGGGUCAUCCCGACUUACCAACCCGAUGCAAACUACGAAUACCGAAGAAUGUUAUCACGGGAGACACACGGCGGGUGCUAACGUCCGUCGUGAAGAGGGAAACAACCCAGACCGCCAGCUAAGGUCCCAAAGUCAUGGUUAAGUGGGAAACGAUGUGGGAAGGCACAGACAGCCAGGAUGUUGGCUUAGAAGCAGCCAUCAUUUAAAGAAAGCGUAAUAGCUCACUGGUCGAGUCGGCCUGCGCGGAAGAUGUAACGGGGCUAAACCAUGCACCGAAGCUGCGGCAGCGACACUAUGUGUUGUUGGGUAGGGGAGCGUUCUGUAAGCCUGCGAAGGUGUGCUGUGAGGCAUGCUGGAGGUAUCAGAAGUGCGAAUGCUGACAUAAGUAACGAUAAAGCGGGUGAAAAGCCCGCUCGCCGGAAGACCAAGGGUUCCUGUCCAACGUUAAUCGGGGCAGGGUGAGUCGACCCCUAAGGCGAGGCCGAAAGGCGUAGUCGAUGGGAAACAGGUUAAUAUUCCUGUACUUGGUGUUACUGCGAAGGGGGGACGGAGAAGGCUAUGUUAGCCGGGCGACGGUUGUCCCGGUUUAAGCAUGUAGGCUGAUUGUCCAGGCAAAUCCGGAUAAUCAAGGCUGAGGUGUGAUGACGAGGCACUACGGUGCUGAAGUAACAAAUGCCCUGCUUCCAGGAAAAGCCUCUAAGCAUCAGGUAACAUCAAAUCGUACCCCAAACCGACACAGGUGGUCAGGUAGAGAAUACCAAGGCGCUUGAGAGAACUCGGGUGAAGGAACUAGGCAAAAUGGUGCCGUAACUUCGGGAGAAGGCACGCUGGUGUGUAGGUGAAGUCCCUGCGGAUGGAGCUGAGACCAGUCGAAGAUACCAGCUGGCUGCAACUGUUUAUUAAAAACACAGCACUGUGCAAACACGAAAGUGGACGUAUACGGUGUGACGCCUGCCCGGUGCCGGAAGGUUAAUUGAUGGGGUUAUCCGUAAGGAGAAGCUCUUGAUCGAAGCCCCGGUAAACGGCGGCCGUAACUAUAACGGUCCUAAGGUAGCGAAAUUCCUUGUCGGGUAAGUUCCGACCUGCACGAAUGGCGUAAUGAUGGCCAGGCUGUCUCCACCCGAGACUCAGUGAAAUUGAACUCGCUGUGAAGAUGCAGUGUACCCGCGGCAAGACGGAAAGACCCCGUGAACCUUUACUAUAGCUUGACACUGAACAUUGAGCCUUGAUGUGUAGGAUAGGUGGGAGGCUUUGAAGCGUGGACGCCAGUCUGCGUGGAGCCAACCUUGAAAUACCACCCUUUAAUGUUUGAUGUUCUAACGUUGGCCCCUGACCGGGGUUGCGGACAGUGUCUGGUGGGUAGUUUGACUGGGGCGGUCUCCUCCCAAAGCGUAACGGAGGAGCACGAAGGUUAGCUAAUCCUGGUCGGACAUCAGGAGGUUAGUGCAAUGGCAUAAGCUAGCUUGACUGCGAGCGUGACGGCGCGAGCAGGUGCGAAAGCAGGUCAUAGUGAUCCGGUGGUUCUGAAUGGAAGGGCCAUCGCUCAACGGAUAAAAGGUACUCCGGGGAUAACAGGCUGAUACCGCCCAAGAGUUCAUAUCGACGGCGGUGUUUGGCACCUCGAUGUCGGCUCAUCACAUCCUGGGGCUGAAGUAGGUCCCAAGGGUAUGGCUGUUCGCCAUUUAAAGUGGUACGCGAGCUGGGUUUAGAACGUCGUGAGACAGUUCGGUCCCUAUCUGCCGUGGGCGCUGGAGAAUUGAGGGGGGCUGCUCCUAGUACGAGAGGACCGGAGUGGACGCAUCACUGGUGUUCGGGUUGUCAUGCCAAUGGCACUGCCCGGUAGCUAAAUGCGGAAGAGAUAAGUGCUGAAAGCAUCUAAGCACGAAACUUGCCCCGAGAUGAGUUCUCCCUGAGACU
rnacentral:rRNA from 1 species